AAUGAACGCUGGCGGCGUGCUUAACACAUGCAAGUCGUGCGCGAAGGCGGCUUCGGCUGCCGGAGAGCGGCGAACGGGUGAGUAACACGUGGGUGAUCUGCCUGGGAGCGGGGGAUAACCUGGGGAAACUCGGGCUAACACCGCAUACGUUGGCGGGUUUACGGACUCGCCAAGAAAACUGGCCUCUGCUUGCAAGCUAGUGCUCCCAGAGGAGCCCGCGGCUGAUUAGCUAGUUGGUGAGGUAAUGGCCCACCAAGGCUUCGAUCAGUAGCCGGCCUGAGAGGGUGAUCGGCCACACUGGGACUGAGACACGGCCCAGACUCCUACGGGAGGCAGCAGUGGGGAAUAUUGGACAAUGGGCGCAAGCCUGAUCCAGCAACGCCGCGU
rnacentral:rRNA from 1 species